GUAUGUACCCAAGGUGGCCUCCGAGUUAGCCUUGCACCUAACAAGGAAAGCAUCUUGUGCUUUCUUCACGUUUUCCUCCUUUCCAGCCCAGGCCUUGAGAGUGCUCUGCUGAAGGGCACGUCCAAAUGAGAAUGAGAGUGACCAUGGUUUCUUGGUCUGGAGCUUGUUCAUGGCAUUAAGGUUAAGGGUAGCCUCCUCCUCACUUUGCCCACCAGACAAGAACACAAUAGCAGGGACUGCAGCAGGGACGGUACGCUGCAAGGCACGGACAGUGUACUCAGCAAUAACCUCUGGGGCAACCUUCAGGGAGUCGGAACCAGGGGUCACCAUGUUAGGCUUCAAAAGAGUACCUUCUAGCAUGACAUGGUGAUCAUUCAAAGCCUUGUAGCAAGC
rnacentral:lncRNA from 1 species